rfam:Larimichthys crocea isolate SSNF unplaced genomic scaffold scaffold272, whole genome shotgun sequence.
UGUUCCCUUUUCUGUAGGUCGCUUUGCAUAAAAGCGUCUGCUAAAUGACUAAAU